AACGAACGUUGGCGGCGUGGAUUAGGCAUGCAAGUCGAACGAAUCCCAGCUUUGUAGCAAUACCGAGCUGGGGGAAGUGGCGAAAGGGGCAGUAAGGCGUGGAUAACCUACCCCGGGGACGGGGAUAGCUAUUCUAACGAGUAGGGUAAUACCUGGCGAUUUGGUCGAGGGGCAUCCCUUGGCCAGGAAAUGAAUUUCGCCUCGGGAGGGGUUCACGUGAUAUUAGCUAGUUGGUGGGGUAACGGCCUACCAAGGCGAAGANGUCUAGCGGGUGUGAGAGCACGACCGCCGCCACUGGCACUGAGACACUGGCCAGACACCUACGGGUGGCUGCAGUCGAGGAUCUUGGCAAUGAGCGCAAGCUUGACCAAGC
rnacentral:rRNA from 1 species